UUAGAAGCGAUAACUUGAAAUAUUGGGGGGCAAAGGGCUAGUGAGCGCCUCAGAGGUUGUGCAUUUUGCCGAGAGAUGCAUAACAUCAAAACUCUGAAAGGCACGUGUGGCAUGCACGACGCAUUAAGCACUUUCCUAGCAAGUCCUACUUCUACCUCCCCGUGGUGCUCUCUGGGUAACGCUAACAGAAGAGGGCGAAGGGCGAGUUGCCGGCGCCCUAAAACUGGCAUCCCUCGGCUAAGGUAUGGGAACCCUUAUAGAAGAGUCCCUGGUCUUCCAGGUUGCGGGUUGUGCGAGAAGCUGAUAUGGUCUGACACUUUCUCAUAUAAUAUCAAUGAUAAUUCAAAACUAAUUCUGUAUUAAGUUUUAAUUUUCAAAGUAUAAAUUGUGUAGAAACCUUACGAUAUAAAAAGCAUUUUAUUUAGCAUUGAUUUUGGAGAAAUGAGUCAUAUGUAAUCAAAUACUUGAUUAAUUAAGAUUUCAUAAACAUUUUUGAGCAGAUAACUUUUUUUGAAUGAGAAUAUUUUUUAAAUUUAUUACAAUUUUAUUUAUUUAUCAUGAUUAAUGUUAAAAAAAAUUUUUGCAAAAUGGAUAGUCGAUGAUACAGAUUGUGAGUGAUGUACCACCUCAUAGAGCUCCCUAUCAACUAAUUUCAUACUCUAAUGUUAAUCAUUGUGCCAUUUUUUACUGAAUGGAAACCAUUAUACUUCAGUUCUAUUGUAACAUGUGGAUAAAUAGGUGGAAGGAACAUACAAGUUUACAUGCAUAUAGUACCUCCUAGCCGGUCAUAUGAUGUAUACCUGUAUGUGAAGUAUAAUGUUGAAGCCAAUCAAAGAUCAGCAUGUUAUGGUUGAAAAACGCAUAAACAGUUUCCUCAGUUUUUUUAAUGGCAAUGAGGAUGCAGUUUAGUGGAUGAUGAGAUUAGUUUAUGGAAAUGAGUGAUAUGUUUUGUUAAUUCUUAAUUCCUACUUUUGAUGCAGUUAUCAUAACACAGAUAUCACAGGUUCCUUUGACGAUUUUUGGAGCUAUGAGCAACCGGCCGAAGCUUUGUUUGAGAAUAUACAUGGAGUGCUUCCAAGUAUCAUUUUAUCAUCACUCUGGGUUAAGUCGAUCGGAUAAAACGAUACAUUAAGAUACUCGAUGUGUAUUUUCAAACGCAGCACAACGGCAGGAAGAUUAAGUGGUAAAGAUGAAAACAUCUUUCACUCACUAGUAUCUAUCAGACUAUCCUGAUCCUGACCCCCAGGAUCCGAAAGCCUACUAUGUGAUUCUUGCUUAUAUAUGAACAACAGCGAAAACAAGUGCUUUCGAGAAACGAAGAGGUAUUUGUAUCCAAGUGGCCAAUAACUGAACUAAAGUGCGCGACACUUGUGCUAUAUAUGUACAUACAACACACAAAAUAAAAUUGUAAUUGAUUUGAAUGUGAUAUUUUCAUUAAAAUAUUAAUAUGUAUAUAGAAUAAAAUUGUGAAAUGUAGUGUUACAAGAGUAUUUUGUGUACAUUGCUAUCAUUAUCAUAUUAAUUUAAAUUAUUUUUUCUCAGAUAUAUUUCUAAACGAUUUUUAUCUUAGAGUAAAAAUUUUUCUAUCAAUACAAUUCUAAUUUUUAAAUCAAUUCCUAGUCUGUAAUUACGAUACUCUUCCGAAAUAAUAGGACCGCAUCUAAAUAACUUCAGUCUAAUAAACGAGCAAGUUAUCAAUGUAAAUAUGCCAUAGUGUACACAACUAUUCUUUGGAAUAUGGUCGUAUCGUCCUCGUGUUACGGUAGAGGGACGGAUACCAACAUUGUCUGAACUGCACACAACUAUGCACAGUAUUUGUCGCAAUUGCUCUUUAUUAAAUACAUAAUUUUACUUUCAGUUAACUGAUUCCAGAAAGAUUAUAUAUUCAUAAUUAACGAUUCACAUGCCUUAGACACUUUAUAUCGUGGGGUCUUUGAAUUUACAAUUACGCUUAUCCUCUAACCUAAAAAUGACAGCGAUACACAGAUUCGCCCGGUUCACGGAAAGGGCGAAAUUUUUGAGUAAGUGCUACUCCACCAGUCAAAAUAGCAUCCUGGGGUUAUUCUGCACGAUGGUACAGCAGCCGCAGAGGAUAGGAUCAGGUCUGAUGAAACUUCAAACAUAAGCAAACUGCUCUGAUCGGCGCGGUAACCGGCAUCGCGGUGACUGUGGGUUAUGCUUAUCAGGAUUAAGGAGACUCAGAAGAACAUUGCAUUGGAAGGAAUGCAGUUGGAGACUGCAUUGUUCAAGCACAAGCCACCUGUCACUCCUGGAAGAUUAUGUUCUCAGCGGAUUCCACUGGCUUGAAACUUAUAUUAUUCCAGUAUCAGACAUAUUCUUUUUGUUAUAAGGUCAGAGUAUUCUACAGGAUAUCUUACAACAUUGUGGAGGUAAACCCAGUUCUUCAUAAAGAAAUCUGAUGGUCCUCAUACAAGAAAGUUUUAUUCUUGACUAAAGUGGAUGAAGGCUAUAUCAGCCCUUAAAUGACAGCACCAUGAUAGUGUCUCUUCUUGCCUCCUACCUAUACAACAUGUCUCACAAGAUCGAGGAACUGGCCAAUUAUUAUCUGAGAAUCGGUAUGCACGAUAAAAAUGCCAAAUUUAAAUAUGAAAUCAUAAACAGAUAUUUCCUCGUGUUCAAUAAGCAGCUUCUUUUCAGUAAUUUAACUUUAAAAAAUUAUGUUACGUAACUUUAAAAAUUACUCUAAUUUGAUAUAACUAAUGAUUUUCAAAUUGAAUUGAAUUUUAACUGUAAAGUACAAGAAAAAAAGCUGAACUUUGUGAAACAAAUACAAAUAAUUUGAAUUCUUUGGUUAAUAAAUUAAUAAAAUAUUUUGUCCUGAUUGGUCAAAUGCUUCAAAGUAUUUGUAGUGUCAAAUUGACUACCCAAAAGUCCAACACAUUGGAAAUUAUUCCUAUUGCCCGUUAUUCCACGUCCCUAUAUUUUUUAUUGUUUUAUUGUAUUAAUUGUGUAUCAAUACAUAAUUUUCAAAUGCUAUUUUUGUUAUUCCCUGUUUCUAUUAUUUGUGCUUUUCAUUGUGCAUUAAAUUUUACAUCAUUUAAGAUGCAGUUCUACACUUGGUUGAUUCCGAAGAGAUUGCAUUAGAGAUUAUGUUAUAUUUAUUCCUAUGAUUGAGAAAACUUGUAUAAAACAAGAUUUUUUGACAAGUCAUGAAUAAAGAAUAAAGAUUUUUAGCUAA
rnacentral:lncRNA from 13 species